rnacentral:rRNA from 1 species
GGCUCAGAUUGAACGCUGGCGGCAGGCUUAACACAUGCAAGUCGAGCGGGGGAAGGUAGCUUGCUACCUGACCUAGCGGCGGACGGGUGAGUAAUGCUUAGGAAUCUGCCUAUUAGUGGGGGACAACAUUCCGAAAGGAAUGCUAAUACCGCAUACGCCCUACGGGGGAAAGCAGGGGAUCUUCGGACCUUGCGCUAAUAGAUGAGCCUAAGUCAGAUUAGCUAGUUGGUGGGGUAAAGGCCUACCAAGGCGACGAUCUGUAGCGGGUCUGAGAGGAUGAUCCGCCACACUGGGACUGAGACACGGCCCAGACUCCUACGGGAGGCAGCAGUGGGGAAUAUUGGACAAUGGGCGCAAGCCUGAUCCAGCCAUGCCGCGUGUGUGAAGAAGGCCUUUUGGUUGUAAAGCACUUUAAGCGAGGAGGAGGCUACUUGGAUUAAUACUCUAGGAUAGUGGACGUUACUCGCAGAAUAAGCACCGGCUAACUCUGUGCCAGCAGCCGCGGUAAUACAGAGGGUGCGAGCGUUAAUCGGAUUUACUGGGCGUAAAGCGUGCGUAGGCGGCUUUUUAAGUCGGAUGUGAAAUCCCUGAGCUUAACUUAGGAAUUGCAUUCGAUACUGGGAAGCUAGAGUAUGGGAGAGGAUGGUAGAAUUCCAGGUGUAGCGGUGAAAUGCG